CUCUCUCUCUACCGGUCUCUCUAUCUCCUUCUCUCUAUCUUUGAUUCUCUCUCGAACCUUCUCUUCUCCCCUCUUCUCUGAUGGACCAUGUCCACCUUCUCUGGCCACCUCUCUUAUUGGAAACCAUGGCCUCUCAUCAUCUCUUGGCCUCUACUUCACCACACGCCAGUUUGACACUACCCUGAGGUCCUCAGGUGCAUCUGAGCGGUUCAACUCCUACCCAUGGUCCUUCAUGCCAUUUUUUGGCCACCUCCGGCUGUUCGAGUAAGAUCUAAGACUUUUCCAGCUAAAACCGGUAGCAUUUUAAGGUUUUAUCAUCUUCUCUAGGUUCUCUGAACCCUAACUCUUAAGAUAUUUUUAUUUCUUUUAGAUCUAUCUUAGAU
rnacentral:lncRNA from 1 species